UAGCAUAUCCUUAAACCUCCUCUUUGGCGUUGCACUUCUUCUCCUGCCUGGUGACUCCAUCCUCAGAAUCCUUCUUCCUACAUACCCUGAGUCCCUCUUUUGCACAUGUCCAAACCAGCUCAAUCUCACUUCUCUGCCUUUGU